GACGAACGCUGGCGGCGUGCCUAACACAUGCAAGUCGAGCGGGGGACUUCGGUCCCUAGCGGCGGACGGGUGAGUAACACGUGGGUAACCUGCCUCAUAGAGGGGGAUAGCCUCCCGAAAGGGAGAUUAGUACCGCAUAAUAAGUAGUUGUCGCGUGACAGCAACUUUAAAGGAGUAAUCCGCUAUGAGAUGGACCCGCGGCGCAUUAGCUAGUUGGUGAGGUAACGGCUCACCAAGGCCACGAUGCGUAGCCGACCUGAGAGGGUGAUCGGCCACAUUGGAACUGAGACACGGUCCAGACUCCUACGGGAGGCAGCAGUGGGGAAUAUUGCACAAUGGGCGAAAGCCUGACGCAGCCAUGCCGCGUGAAUGAUGAAGGUCUUAGGAUUGUAAAAUUCUUUCACCGGGGACGAUAAUGACGGUACCCGGAGAAGAAGCCCCGGCUAACUUCGUGCCAGCAGCCGCCGUAACAC
rnacentral:rRNA from 1 species